UACGUAGGGGGCAAGCGUUGUCCGGAUUUAUUGGGCGUAAAGAGCGUGUAGGCGGCCAAGCAGGUCCGCUGUGAAAACUCGAGGCUCAACCUCGAGACGUCGGUGGAAACCGUUUGGCUAGAGUCCGGAAGAGGAGAGUGGAAUUCCCGGUGUAGCGGUGAAAUGCGCAGAUAUCGGGAAGAACACCCGUGGCGAAGGCGGCUCUCUGGGACGGUACUGACGCAUGAG
rnacentral:rRNA from 1 species